UCAAGUUGUGUUAUUUAAUGCUCGUAAUUUAGACACAAAUGAUAGAAAUGUUAGGUUUAUAUGCCAAAGAUAUGCCAUGUGAAAAUUUUAGUGCAAAUACGCAUGCGUGCGCGCCGUGCACAUAAAGCCACCCCACCCCCACGUAUCCGCGCGCCGGUCGGUGGGUGUUGGGCGUCAAUAAAGGUAAUCUGGUUGUCGCGCUUUCUGCAUCUCUGCACGAGCUAAAGAAGUCUCAAAGAUGAAUGCCGCUGUUAUUAUCACUGUGACGGAAGAGCGGUCCUGAAAAAUACGGCCUCCAUCGAGAGACUGAACGUAACACGACUGCAGGUUACUACUAUGAUCAUAGAAAAAUGUAUUAAUUAUUUGUUUCAACUGUAUAGUUAUUGUGGUUGAGCAGAGGAAGGGAGGUUUGUGAGAAUCGGAGUUACAUUAGCUAAUGAUUAUGGCAGCGCUCGCGCCCGAGUAAGCCCUGGCUGCAGCCUGCAGAAUGGGUCAACAAGAUUCAAGAUUCAAGAUUCAAGUUUUAUUGCCGUUUGCACAUGCGGUACAUCGGAAUUUUUCUUUGGCAUCUCUCAUGUCAGGAUAAGUUAAAAAAA